UACGGAGGGUGCAAGCGUUAUCCGGAUUUAUUGGGUUUAAAGGGUGCGUAGGCGGUAUGGUAAGUCAGCGGUGAAAGCUUACGGCUCAACUGUGAGAUUGCCAUUGAAACUGUUGGACUUGAGUAUACUUGAGGUGGUUGGAAUUCGUCGUGUAGCGGUGAAAUGCUUAGAUAUGAUGAAGAACACCAAUUGCGAAGGCAGCUCACUGGAUUAGAACUGACGCUGAGGCACGAAAGCGUGGGUAUCAAACAGG
rnacentral:rRNA from 1 species